CACUAGUGAUUCUCCUGGAAACGGGUGGUAAUGCCGGAUGCUCCAGUUGGAUGCAUGUCCUUCUGGGAAAGAUUUCAUCGGUAUGGGAUGGGGUCGCGUCCUAUCAGGUAGUCGGCGGGGUAACGGCCCACCGAGCCUACGACGGGUAGCCGGCCUGAGAGGGCGACCGGCCACAUUGGGACUGAGAUACGGCCCAGACUCCUACGGGAGGCAGCAGUGGGGAAUAUUGCACAAUGGGCGCAAGCCUGAUGCAGCGACGCCGCGUGCGGGAUGACGGCCUUCGGGUUGUAAACCGCUUUUGAUCGGGAGCAAGCCUUCGGGUGAGUGUACCUUUCGAAUAAGCACCGGCUAACUACGUGCCAGCAGCCGCGGUAAUACGUAGGGUGCAAGCGUUAUCCGGAAUUAUUGGGCGUAAAGGGCUCGUAGGCGGUUCGUCGCGUCCGGUGUGAAAGUCCAUCGCUUAACGGUGGAUCCGCGCCGGGUACGGGCGGGCUUGAGUGCGGUAGGGGAGACUGGAAUUCCCGGUGUAACGGUGGAAUGUGUAGAUA
rnacentral:rRNA from 1 species